CAUGGACUCUAGCUCGCAAGGCUCCUCUGUCCCUGGGAUUUUCCUGGAAAGGAUACUGGAGUGGGUUGCUGUUUUAUUCUCCAGGGGAUCUUCCCGACGCAGAGAUCAAACUCAAGUCUCCUGCAUUGCAGAUGGAUUAUUUACUACUGUGCCACCUGGAAAGCCCAAGGAAAGUAAUCUAAACAUUGCUUUAAGAAUGGACACUGACUUCUGUAAUAUUAAAGUAGAGAAACUGGAGCUUAUUGAAGAAGUAAAAUGCACACCUGGAUGAGAGAUUGCUGACCUUCCAGUGUACGUAUCCAGUCUCCCCUGAAACAUGAGAGCACCUCCAGUCUGUGACUUUCAUGAUUUCCUCUGGUUCCUGACAAAUAAAUGUCAGUCUGAAUAGAAGCCAACUGGGU
rnacentral:lncRNA from 1 species